UGGAGCCCUGUUACGGUACCUCGGUUACCUCUUUAGAGGUAAGAGGCCAAUUUAAUCUGGACCGUUCAGUUUUAGAGAGAGAAAAUACUGAAACGAUUAAAAAAAAACAUAAACCGGCUACUCUCGGUUACCGAUUCUCACUUCUUCGAUCUUAUCGUUCCCUGCGGCCUCCCGAUCUCCCGAGCUCCCAGUUCCUCCGAUCCGCGCCUGAAAUCACGGGACGGGAGUUCGAUAUGAAUCGGAAACGAGGACUCUCCUUCGACUGCCGCCUCCCGAUUUCCCUGAUCUCCCUGAUUCGUUCCUCAAAUCACGGCAGGGGAGAUCCAAACAGAUUCGGUGGCCUCCUGCGAUGCAAGCCUCUUCGUCGUCUCCUUCUCCGUCGACGCGUCGUCCAGCCCCCACGCGUUCCCCGGGCUCGUUACCGCCUGAGCGGCGACAUCCUCCCGCAGCCCAGGGACAGGACGCUGCGGCACGGCGGCGGGGAGACACGGAUCGUGACCGUGCUGCAGGGGGCGACGCACCGGCAAUCACGCGUUGGUGAGGUCUCGCCGCAUUGAGGAGGUCAUCGUCAACGUGGUGGGACGGUGGCUGGUUGCCGAGCGUCAAGCUGCAGGCUGAAGCUGUGAAUUGCUCUGGGGCAGUUUUUGUGGUCCGCCGCCGGUCAUCUUGUUCGGAGCAACGCUUCUGGAAAAGGCAUUGUGCUCUGUAGAAGAUGCAUUCCACAAAUUGAGGUGGAAAGAUCGUGCACAAAAGAGUUGGUGAACUGUGGGCCUGUGCUGGUGAAAGAUGGCCCCAACCGUGUGUAUGCCCGGGAAAUUUGCUACACUAUGCAGCAAGUUGAAUGAGGAACAAAAGGGUGUUGUCGAAGUAAUAGGAUUUCGAAGCUUGCUUAGUAUACCUGCGAUGCCUAUUCAACGUAUUCUCCUUGAGGACCUUGCUGAAAAGUACAAUGAAGUAGAUAGGAGCUUUAGAAUACACGAUCAUGUGGUUCCUAUUUCUACGUGGGAUGUGUAUUGCAUCUUAGGUCUAGUUGACGUAGGAGAUAAGAUUGAAAUUAGUACAAAGAAAGCUGAUCCUAGAUUGUUUAAUUUGUGUAAAGGGAGAGAUGAUAUAGCAAUCACUUUCAAACACUUGGAAGAACGAAUAGGGAGCGGCACAGCCGAUGACCACUUUGCUAGAAUGUUUGUGCUGUAUACGAUAGGUAUAAUUUUGGCCCCUAGUUCAAAGGAAUAUGUGAGCAGCAGGUAUGUAGAUCUUGUAGCAGAUAUUUCAAAAAUCAAAGGCUACAAUUGGGCGCAGUUCACAUUAUAGUAUUUGAUUGAUCACUUGGCACUAUUCAAGAAGAGCAAAAGAACAGGUCUUGUUGGAAAUUUGGCGUUUCUGCAGGUUUGGUUCUUUGAAUAUUUUCAAGCGGUUGGUGAUUGCUUUGAUCAUGCACUCCAUGAGCAUCCUCUGAUUAAAAAUUGGGGUGGAAACAAGGUUGUGAAGCGGGCACAUCUUGAAGGGAUAAAGAAAUUUGGUGCUGAAAAGGUAGUUAUUAGGUUGGAACUCAAUGAUUCUGAAGCGCGUACUGAUUCUGAUCAUUUGGAGGAGGAGAUUGGUGAGGGAUCUUCUGAGGGAAUGAACAGUGACUAUUUCAAAAACGCGGAUUUCAUUGACAAUGGUGAAAAGGAGGAAAAAACUAUGGAUGGCUCGAAUGAUGAUGAGAAGGGUGAUGAAUGCCUCAGAGAGUAUCCAAGUAUUUCAGGACACACUGGAAUCAAUCCAAGGCAAGCUAUCAGCAUUAGAGCAAGAUACCUAUCAUAAGUACACAAGUAUUGAUGGAAGAAUUCAAGUGAUAGAGGACAGGACAAGAUGUUUUAUAUAUUCACAAUUUUUUUUAAUAAUGUCUCAUCGAUGUGUGGGCCCACCUUAUUUGUAUAAUAUUUCUGAAGUUACGUAUUUGAACUAUAAAUAUACACAUUUAAAAUGUCA